rnacentral:misc_RNA from 1 species
GAGCAGGAAAGGAGAGACGCUCAAUAUAGCAAUUUUCUCUUUCCUUCAAAGGUAGACACAGCCGGCCUGGGGACAAGCUGGCACAAUCUCAUUGGUCUAGCGUAUAUGAGGGGCAUGGAAGAUACCGUAGUCAUACCUCAAUUAGUCAACAAGUUGUAUUUUUCUUGGCUUCUGAGUUUUGAUGCAAACUGUGUCUGCAAAAUCUUUCUCGCCAAUUUUGAUCACAUAAGUUUUUCUCUCAUACAACUGAUUCUUUGAAAUGGAAAUCGCGACUACCGUUGGAGGCAGUAUCCUCUCUGCUUGCUUCCAGAGUAUCCUCGACAAGUUGAACUUCAUUGACUUCGGGAAAUAUGUCGGCCAGGGGCAUGUCUUGAAUCAACUCAACAGGUGGGAGAAUAUGCUCAAGAGAAUUCAUGCCGUGCUUGAUGAUGCAGAGGAGAA